rnacentral:tRNA from 1 species
UGGAGCAGCUCGGUAGCUCGCUGGGCUCAUAACCCAGAGGUCGCAGGUUCGAAUCCUGU